CCUGCGCGAGGCCCCGCCCCCGGCGCCGAGAAGCGGGCGCCGCGCCCCUGGGGGCGCCGGGAGCCGGAGCGGGGCCCCGUGAGCAGCGGACCCACACUCUCCGGAUCGCUCACCCUCCGACGAGCUCACGGGAGCACACAGAGGUCAGUGCAUUUGCACUCCGAGAGGCAAAUCAAGAAGUAAUUAUAGAAGAAGCUUUCUAGCGCCUCACACCGUCACACCUCCGACAGGAGCUAUGAAACAGCAAGAAACAGUUGCCCCAGCUGUGUCUGCAAACCGACUGCACCGGAAGCAGAGACCAGAGGGUCCGCACCUGUCCCUGGACACGAGGCAUGGCCAGGUCUAGAUGAUCUGUCUGUGCUUUAAAGCACACAGAAGAAGAAACAAGAGAAAGAUGGAGAGGAGAAAGGGGAGCUGUUCAAAUUCCAAACAUCUGGCAAAGAGCCCAGCUGCAGCUCACCCUACCUUCAGAUGAUGAUACUGAAAGUACCCCCGUCUCGGAAGUUGAUGGAAUUAAUAAAGAGGAAGGGGAAGGGGCAGUGACAUUGA